UUACGGGAGGCAGCAGUAGGGAAUAUUGCACAAUGGGCGAAAGCCUGAUGCAGCAACGCCGCGUGUGCGAUGAAGGCCUUCGGGUCGUAAAGCACUUUUCUGAGAGAUGAGAAAGGACAGUAUCUCAGGAAUAAGUCUCGGCUAACUACGUGCCAGCAGCCGCGGUAACACGUAGGAGGCGAGCGUUAUCCGGAUUCACUGGGCGUAAAGCGCGUGCAGGCGGUUUGGUAAGUUGAUCGUGAAAGCUCCCGGCUCAACUGGGAGAGGUCGGUCAAUACUACCAAACUAGAGAGUAGAAGAGGAAGAUGGAAUUCCCGGUGUAGUGGUGAAAUGCGUAGAUAUCGGGAGGAACACCAGUGGCGAAGGCGAUCUUCUGGUCUAUUUCUGACGCUCAGACGCGACAGCUAGGGUAGUAAACGGGAUUAGAUACCCUGGUAGC
rnacentral:rRNA from 1 species